CUCUCGUCCUCUAGUGGUGAAAUGCGUUUUAGUUUCGUUUUUGAGGGUGGCGUUACCGAACUGGAACUGGAGCAGAUAUCUUGAGCAGUCAACAUAUUUGUCUGAUAUUUACAACUAUCAUCGGAAACUUAAGAUGCAGAAGAUCCCGACUGCAGCUACAAUCAACAGAGAUCCAGCAGCAGCAGAAACCAGCACUAUCAGAGAAACUGAAUCUGGAGGGUAUGAAGGAGAGUGAAAGAGAGACAGUCAUUAAUGAGAGAGUCACAUCACUCACAUUCACCACUGAACACACCAGUGAACAAUUCUGCUGUGAUGAUGACGAAGAACAGUUUGAAAAGUUACUGCUGAUGACAGGAACAGGCAGACGAGCUGAGAAACAUGAGAGAAAAAGAGAAAUAUGAACAGAACAAUCAGCUUAUUUUCAGCGUUGUGAAUUGUAGUGAAUUUGUGUAAUGAAUGUUGAGUGAGUGUUUAGUGUGUUGUUGACGAUCACUGAAUGUGUCUGUCAUCUCAAAAUAUAAAACGAAUAAACAUUUGACUAUGUAAAUAGAAUGUGAACAUUUCAACAAAUUAUCUCUACUCACCAUAGACAGAAACGUUGAAUGUUUUAAAUGUCAGAUUCGCUCCAGCUAUCUCUAGUUGAUAAACUCCAGCAAGUUGAGUUGUGAUGUUUG